UACGUAGGGUGCAAGCGUUAAUCGGAAUUACUGGGCGUAAAGCGUGCGCAGGCGGUUGUGCAAGACCGAUGUGAAAUCCCCGGGCUUAACCUGGGAAUGGCAUUGGUGACUGCACGGCUAGAGUGUGUCAGAGGGGGGUAGAAUUCCACGUGUAGCAGUGAAAUGCGUAGAGAUGUGGAGGAAUACCGAUGGCGAAGGCAGCCCCCUGGGAUAACACUGACGCUCACGCACGAAAGCGUGGGGAGCAAACAGG
rnacentral:rRNA from 1 species